AUACUAACCUUGCGCAGGGUGUACCGUGAUCAAGAAGGCGGUUGCCCCGGGCUGGCUCCAGCCAUUGCACUGCGGUUGGAAUUGGUCAGUCUGUGACCAUCCCAAAUGGGGAUUCGUCGUGCGCGUAAUUUUUGGUAGUUGGACAUGCGUUUCUGCGCUGUCCUC